UACAGAGGGUGCGACCGUUGUUCGGAAUUACUGGGCGUAAAGCGCAUGUAGGCGGCAGCGCAAGUCGGGCGUGAAAUCCCACGGCUCAACCGUGGAAGUGCACUCGAAACUGCGCAGCUAGAGUCCUGGAGAGGAAGGUGGAAUGCUUGGUGUAGAGGUGAAAUUCGUAGAUAUCAAGCGGAACACCGGUGGCGAAGGCGGCCUUCUGGACAGUGACUGACGCUGAGAUGCGAAAGCGUGGGGAGCAAACAGG
rnacentral:rRNA from 1 species